rnacentral:sRNA from 17 species
GGAUAUGUGAGGAAAACGCUUCACAGGGUGGAAACAAGGACACACUCCUAAGAGUCGUUUUGAA